rnacentral:rRNA from 1 species
UUGAACGCUGGCGGCAUGCCUUACACAUGCAAGUCGAACGGGCUUUAGGGGCUUGCUCCUAAAGUUAGUGGCGAACGGGUGAGUAAAGUAUCGGAACGUACCAUUCAGUGGGGGAUAACGUAGCGAAAGUUACGCUAAUACCGCAUAUUCUGUGAGCAGGAAAGCAGGGGAUCGCAAGACCUUGCGCUGAUUGAGCGGCCGAUAUCAGAUUAGCUAGUUGGCGGGGUAAUAGCCCACCAAGGCGACGAUCUGUAGCGGGUCUGAGAGGAUGAUCCGCCACACUGGGACUGAGACACGGCCCAGACUCCUACGGGAGGCAGCAGUGGGGAAUUUUGGACAAUGGGCGCAAGCCUGAUCCAGCCAUGCCGCGUGAGUGAAGAAGGCCUUCGGGUUGUAAAGCUCUUUCGCGAGGGAAGAAAACGCACUCUCUAAUACAGGGUGUGGAUGACGGUACCUUGAUAAGAAGCACCGGCUAACUACGU